rnacentral:rRNA from 1 species
UACGGAGGGUGCAAACGUUGCUCGGAAUUAUUGGGCGUAAAGCGCACGUAGGCGGUCCCUCAAGUCGGGUGUGAAAUCCCCGGGCUCAACCUGGGAACUGCAUUCGAGACUGCAUUGCUUGAGUAUGGGAGAGGGAGGCGGAAUCUCAGGUGUAGCGGUGAAAUGCGUAGAUAUCUGAAGGAACAUCAGUGGCGAAAGCGGCCUCCUGGACCAAUACUGACGCUCAUGUGCGAAAGCGUGGGGAGCAAACAGG